AACGUAGGUGGCAAGCGUUAUCCGGAUUUACUGGGCGUAAAGCAUGUGCAGACGGGUUGGUAAGUGGUGUAUGAAAGCGUUCGGCUUAACCGAGCAAGCGUAUGCCAGACUGCCAGUCGUUGAGAGUGGGAGAGGGAUGUGGAAUUCCGGGUGUAGUGGUGAAAUGCGCAGAUAAUCAGGAGGAACACCGGAUGGCGAAGGCCAGGUCGUCUGGGCCACUACUGGA
rnacentral:rRNA from 1 species